GAUGAACGCUGGCGGCGUGCCUAAUAUAUGCAAGUCGAGCGAACGGACGAGAAGCUUGCUUCUCUGAUGUUAGCGGUGGACGGGUGAGUAACACGUGGAUAACCUACCUAUAAGACUGGGAUAACUUCGGGAAACCGGAGCUAAUACCGGAUAAUAUUUUGAACCGCAUGGUUCCAAAGUGAAAGACGGUCUUGCUGUCACUUAUAGAUGGAUCCGCGCUGCAUUAGCUAGUUGGUAAGGUAACGGCUUACCAAGGCAACGAUGCCUAGCCGACCUGAGAGGGUGAUCGGCCACACUAGAACUGAGACACGGUCCAGACGCCUACGGGAGGCAGCAGUAGGGAAUCUUCCGCAAUGGGCAAAAGCCUGACGGAGCAACGCCGCGUGAGUGAUGAAGGUCUUCGGAUCGUAAAACUCUGUUAUUAGGGAAGAACAUAUGUGUAAGUAACUGUGCACAUCUUGACGGUACCUAAUCAGAAAGCCACGGCUAACUACGUG
rnacentral:rRNA from 1 species